rnacentral:lncRNA from 1 species
UGUGAAACGAUGUAUUUUGGAAAUUUAGAUUAAGUAUAGUGCUUAGUUGGCAUUUAGAUUAAAAUUAAAAAAAAAAUCCAAUUAAUAAUUAAUCUAAAUCUUAAAUAAAUUAAACUAAAUUUCCGUAUAUUUAAAAUCAUUCAAAGUUAAUUAAUUAGGAACCCAUGUAAUUAUAUUAAAAUCAAUUUCAAUCCCACUUAAAUCAAUUAAUGUAAAUGAACUGCUUACUAUGAA